UACGUAGGGCGCAAGCGUUGUCCGGAAUUAUUGGGCGUAAAGAGCUCGUAGGCGGCCUGUUGCGUCCGCUGUGAAAUCCCGGGGCUCAACCCCCGGGCCUGCAGUGGAUACGGGCUGGCUAGAGGCAGGCAGGGGAGAACGGAAUUCCUGGUGUAGCGGUGAAAUGCGCAGAUAUCAGGAGGAACACCGGUGGCGAAGGCGGUUCUCUGGGCCUGUUCUGACGCUGAGGAGCGAAAGCGUGGGGAGCAAACAGG
rnacentral:rRNA from 1 species